GCUAAUACCGCAUACGCCCUACGGGGGAAAGCAGGGGACUUCGGACCUUGCGCUAAGAUGAGCCUAAGUCGGAUUAGCUAGUUGGUGGGUAAGGCACCAAGGCGACGAUCUGUAACGGGUCUGAGAGGAUGAUCCGCCACACUGGGACUGAGACACGGCCCAGACUCCUACGGGAGGCAGCAGUGGGGAAUAUUGGACAAUGGGGGAACCUGAUCCAGCCAUGCCGCGUGUGUGAAGAAGGCUUUGUUGUAAAGCACUUUAAGGGGAGGA
rnacentral:rRNA from 1 species